rnacentral:rRNA from 1 species
GACGAACGCUGGCGGCGUGCCUAAUACAUGCAAGUAGAACGCAGUUGCGAACGGGUGAGUAACGCGUAGGUAACUGCCUCAUAGCGGGGGAUAACUAUUGGAAACGAUAGCUAAUACCGCAUACUGUGCGAUGGACCUGCGUUGUAUUAGCUAGUUGGUGAGGUAAAGGCUCACCAAGGCGACGAUACAUAGCCGACCUGAGAGGGUGAUCGGCAACACUGGGACGGAGACACGGCCCAGACUCCUACGGGAGGCAGCAGUAGGGAAGCUUCGGCAAUGGACGGAAGUCUGACCGAGCAACGCAGCGUGAGUGAGGAAGGUUUUCGGAUCGUAGAGCUCUGUUGUUGGGGAAGCGGUAACUAAACAGAAAGGGAAGGCUAACUACGUGCCAGCAGCCGCGGUAAUAC